GACGAACGCUGGCGGCGUGCUUAACACAUGCAAGUCGAACGCUGAAGACCUGGCUUUUGUUGGGUUGGAUGAGUGGCGAACGGGCGAGUAACACGUGAGUAACCUGCCCUCUUCUUUGGGAUAACGCCCGGAAACGGGUGCUAAUACUGGAUAUUCACUGAUCUUCGCAUGGGGGUUGGUGGAAAGGUUUGUUCUGGUGGGGGAUGGGCUCGCGGCCUAUCAGCUUGUUGGUGGGGUGAUGGCCUACCAAGGCUUUGACGGGUAGCCGGCCUGAGAGGGUGACCGGUCACAUUGGGACUGAGAUACGGCCCAGACUCCUACGGGAGGCAGCAGUGGGGAAUAUUGCACAAUGGGCGAAAGCCUGAUGCAGCGACGCCGCGGGAGGGAUGGAGGCCUUCGGGUUGUAAACCUCUUUCGCUCAUGGUCAAGCCGCAACUGUGGGUUGUGGUGAGGGUAGUGGGUAAAGAAGCGCCGGCUAACUACGUGC
rnacentral:rRNA from 1 species